rnacentral:rRNA from 1 species
CCCUUAGAUGUUCUGGGCCGCACGCGUGCUACACUGAGUAAUUCAAUGGGUAAGGGAACGCUAGAGCAUUACCUAAUCUUGAAAUUUGCUCGUGAUGGGGAUCGACGGUUGCAAUUUUCCGUCGUGAACGAGGAAUACCUUGUAGGCGCAUGUCAUCAUCAUGCGCCGAAUACGUCCCUGCCCUUUGUACACACCGCCCGUCGCUCCUACCGAUUGAGUGAUCCGGUGAGGCUCUGGGACCUGGACGGAAAGAGCGUUUCGCUUGUUCUGUUUGGGAAACUUGGCCGAACCUUAUCAUUUAGAGGAAGGAGAAGUCGUAACA